rnacentral:rRNA from 2 species
CCUACGGGCGGCUGCAGUGGGGAAUAUUGCACAAUGGAGGGAACUCUGAUGCAGCAACGCCGCGUGAGUGAAGAAGGUUUUCGGAUCGUAAAACUCUGUCAUUGGGGAAGAAUAAAUGACGGUACCCAAUGAGGAAGCCCCGGCUAACUACGUGCCAGCAGCCGCGGUAAUACGUAGGGGGCGAGCGUUGUCCGGAAUUACUGGGCGUAAAGGGUACGUAGGCGGCUAUAUAAGUCAGGUGUGAAAUACCAGUGCUUAACACUGGAAUUGCAUUUGAAACUGUGUAGCUUGAGUGCAGGAGAGGAAAGUGGAAUUCCUAGUGUAGCGGUGAAAUGCGUAGAGAUUAGGAGGAACACCAGUGGCGAAGGCGACUUUCUGGACUGUAACUGACGCUGAGGUACGAAAGCGUGGGUAGCGAACAGGAUUAGAUACCCCAGUAGUC